GAUGAACGCUGGCGGCGUGCCUAAUACAUGCAAGUCGAGCGAAUGGAUUAAGAGCUUGCUCUUAUGAAGUUAGCGGCGGACGGGUGAGUAACACGUGGGUAACCUGCCCAUAAGACUGGGAUAACUCCGGGAAACCGGGGCUAAUACCGGAUAAUAUUUUGAACUGCAUGGUUCGAAAUUGAAAGGCGGCUUCGGCUGUCACUUAUGGAUGGACCCGCGUCGCAUUAGCUAGUUGGUGAGGUAACGGCUCACCAAGGCAACGAUGCGUAGCCGACCUGAGAGGGUGAUCGGCCACACUGGGACUGAGACACGGCCCAGACUCCUACGGGAGGCGGCAGUAGGGAAUCUUCCGCAAUGGACGAAAGUCUGACGGAGCAACGCCGCGUGAGUGAUGAAGGCUUUCGGGUCGUAAAACUCUGUUGUUAGGGAAGAACAAGUGCUAGUUGAAUAAGCUGGCACCUUGACGGUACCUAACCAGAAAGCCACGGCUAACUACGUGCCAGCAGCCGCGGUAA
rnacentral:rRNA from 1 species